rnacentral:rRNA from 1 species
UACGUAGGCAGCGAGCGUUGUUCGGAGUUACUGGGCGUAAAGGGUGUGUAGGCGGUUGUUUAAGUUUGGUGUGAAAUCUCCCGGCUCAACUGGGAGGGUGCGCCGAAUACUGAAUGACUUGGAGUGCGGGAGAGGAAAGUGGAAUUCCAGGUGUAGCGGUGAAAUGCGUAGAUAUCUGGAGGAACACCGGUGGCGAAGGCGGCAUCCUGGACCGGUAUUGACGCUGAGGCGCGAAAGCUAGGGGAGCAAACGGG